GAUGAACGCUGGCGGCGUGCCUAAUACAUGCAAGUCGAGCGAACGGACGAGAAGCUUGCUUCUCUGAUGUUAGCGGCGGACGGGUGAGUAACACGUGGAUAACCUACCUAUAAGACUGGGAUAACUUCGGGAAACCGUAGCUAAUACCGGAUAAUAUUUUGAACCGCAUGGUUCAAAAGUGAAAGACGGUCUUGCUGUCACUUAUAGAUGGAUCCGCGCUGCAUUAGCUAGUUGGUAAGGUAACGGCUUACCAAGGCAACGAUGCAUAGCCGACCUGAGAGGGUGAUCGGCCACACGGGAACUGAGCCACGGUCCAGACUCCUACGGGAGGCAGCAGUAGGGAAUCUUACGCAGUAGGCGAAAGCCUGACGGAGCAACCCCGCGUGAGUGAUGAAGGUCUUCGGAUCGUAAAACUCUGUUAUUAGGGAAGAACAUAUGUGUAAGUAACUGUGCACAUCUUGACGGUACCUAAUCAGAAAGCCACGGCUAACUACGUG
rnacentral:rRNA from 1 species